AAUAACUCGCCAGAAAAACUACUAGCUAAUGCUUGAAACUCAAAGGACUUGGCGGUGCCCUAAACCCAUCUAGAGGAGCCUGUUCUAUAAUCGAUAAACCCCGAUAUACCUAACCCCUUCUUGCCAAUUCAGUCUAUAUACCGCCAUCGUCAGCCUACCCCAACAGGGAUAAAAAGUAAGCAAAAUCAUUAACCAUAAAAACGUUAGGUCAAGGUGUAACAAAUGAAGGGGGAAGUAAUGGGCUACAUUCUCUAGUUUAGAGAAUAAACGAAUCAUCCUAAUGAAAUAAGAUGCCUGAAGGAGGAUCUAGNNNNNNNNNNNNNNNAAAAGGAGCUGGUAUCAGGCACACUUAAAGUAGCCCAUUACACCUUGCUUUACCACACCCCCACGGGAAACAGCAGUGACUAACAUUAAGCCAUGAACGAAAGUUUGACUAAGUCAUAAUUAACUUAGGGUUGGUAAAUUUCGUGCCAGCCACCGCGGUCAUACGAUUAACCCAAAUUAAUAGAUUCACGGCGUAAAGCGUGUUUAGACAACUCCCUAUAAUAAAGUUUAUAUCUAACCAAACUGUAAUACGUUAUAGUUAGCACUAAAAUAAACCACUAAAGUGACUUUAAUACUGUUGAACACACGAAAGCUAAGACAC
rnacentral:rRNA from 1 species